UACGGGGGGGGCAAGCGUUGUUCGGAAUUACUGGGCGUAAAGGGCUCGUAGGCGGCCAACUAAGUCCGACGUGAAAUCCCCAGGCUUAACCUGGGAACUGCGUCGGAUACUGGAUGGCUUGAAUUCGGGAGAGGGAUGCAGAAUUCCAGGUGUAGCGGUGAAAUGCGUAGAUAUCUGGAGGAACACCGGUGGCGAAGGCGACAUCCUGGACCGGUAUUGACGCUGAGGCGCGAAAGCCAGGGGAGCAAACGGG
rnacentral:rRNA from 1 species